rnacentral:rRNA from 1 species
CGGAGAGUUUGAUCCUGGCUCAGGACGAACGCUGGCGGCAUGCCUAAUACAUGCAAGUCGAACGAACCAUCCUGAAGAUUGAAGCUUGCUUCAUGAUUCAGACCUUGGUGAGUGGCGGACGGGUGAGUAACACGUGGGUAACCUGCCCAGAAGUGGGGGAUAACAUUUGGAAACAAGUGCUAAUACCGCAUAACAACUUAGAUCACAUGAUCUUUGUUUAAAAGAUGGUUUUGCUAUCUCUUCUGGAUGGACCCGCGGCGUAUUAGCUAGUUGGUGAGGUAAUAGCUCACCAAGGCGAUGAUACGUAGCCGACCUGAGAGGGUAAUCGGCCACAUUGGGACUGAGACACGGCCCAAACUCCUACGGGAGGCAGCAGUAGGGAAUCUUUCACAAUGGGCGAAAGCCUGAUGGAGCAACGCCGCGUGUGUGAUGAAGGGUUUCGGCUCGUAAAACACUGUUGUAAGAGAAGAAUGACAUUGAGAGUAACUGUUCAAUGUGUGACGGUAUCUUACCAGAAAGGAACGGCUAAAUACGUGCCAGCAGCCGCGGUAAUACGUAUGUUCCAAGCGUUAUCCGGAUUUAUUGGGCGUAAAGCGAGCGCAGACGGUUAUUUAAGUCUGAAGUGAAAGCCCUCAGCUCAACUGAGGAAUUGCUUUGGAAACUGGAUGACUUGAGUGCAGUAGAGGAAAGUGGAACUCCAUGUGUAGCGGUGAAAUGCGUAGAUAUAUGGAAGAACACCAGUGGCGAAGGCGGCUUUCUGGACUGUAACUGACGUUGAGGCUCGAAAGUGUGGGUAGCAAACAGGAUUAGAUACCCUGGUAGUCCACACCGUAAACGAUGAGUGCUAGGUGUUUGA